rnacentral:lncRNA from 10 species
CCAGACACACACUGUCUGCAGCCCAGGGCCCGUGGGUGCCCCCUGCCAGGCUGAGGGACAGUGACACAGGUGUGGGAAGGGUCCUGGCGGUGCUCCUCUCAGCGCAGGUCCCGAGGAGCUACAGGCAUGACGCUGCCUUCAGAACUCCCCCGAGCCUGCUCCUUCCCAGCCUUGGCUCGUGAGGCUCCUCCGAGGACCACGGGCCUUCCACGGCGUAGCCCUGCCACGAAGCCUCCCCAUGUCUUGCCGGGCCAAGGUCAUGGCCACAUAGCCCCCAGCCAGGAGAGAUGACGCCCCCUGUAGGCUGGCCCAACGUCACACCUGGUAGCCUCUUGCUGCUCCGUGGCCUCUGAGGCCCCAGGCACACGCUGGGUCCUGUCCAGCCCUCCCCUCUCCUGCAGCCCAGCAGCCGAGGGGGCUGCGUUUCCCAGCUUGUGCCCAAGAGUGGCGCCCGCGUAGUAAUUCCUAAUUAAAUAGAGCAC